rnacentral:rRNA from 1 species
UACGAAGGGGGCUAGCGUUGCUCGGAAUCACUGGGCGUAAAGCGCACGUAGGCGGAUUGCUAAGUCGAGGGUGAAAUCCUGGAGCUCAACUCCAGAACUGCCUUUGAUACUGGCGACCUUGAGUCCGGGAGAGGUGAGUGGAACUGCGAGUGUAGAGGUGAAAUUCGUAGAUAUUCGCAAGAACACCAGUGGCGAAGGCGGCUCACUGGCCCGGUACUGACGCUGAGGUGCGAAAGCGUGGGGAGCAAACAGG